rnacentral:rRNA from 1 species
CACGUAGGUGGGUUGGAAAGUCGAUUGUGAAAGCCCAGGGCUUAACCUUGGAAUUGCAGUCGAAACUUCCAAUCUUGAAUACCUGAGAGGGUGGGGGAAUUCCUGGUGUAGAUGUGAAAUUCGUAGAUAUCAGGAGGAACACCUGAGGCGAAGGCGCCUGCCUGGCAGUGUAUUGACGCUGAGGUGCGAAAGCGUGGGGAGCAAACA